rnacentral:rRNA from 1 species
CCGCAAUGGGCGAAAGCCUGACGGAGCAAUACCGCGUGAGGGAGGAAUGCCUUUGGGUUGUAAACCUCUUUUCUCAGGGAAGAAGAUCUGACGGUACCUGAAGAAUAAGCAUCGGCUAACUCCGUGCCAGCAGCCGCGGUAAUACGGAGGAUGCAAGCGUUAUCCGGAAUUAUUGGGCGUAAAGCGUCCGCAGGUGGUUUUCAAAGUCCGCUGUUAAAGACUGGAGCUCAACUCCGGAAAGGCGGUGGAAACUUGAGAACUAGAGUUUGGUAGGGGUAGCAGGAAUUCCCAGUGUAGCGGUGAAAUGCGUAGAUAUUGGGAAGAACAUCGGUGGCGAAGGCGUGCUACUGGACCAUAACUGACACUCAGGGACGAAAGCUAGGGGAGCGAAAGGGAUUAGAUACCCCUGUAGUCCUAGCUGUAAACGAUGGAAACUAGGUGUGGCUUGUAUCGACCCGAGCCGUGCCGUAGCCAACGCGUUAAGUUUCCCGCCUGGGGAGUACGCACGCAAGUGUGAAACUCAAAGGAAUUGACGGGGGCCCGCACAAGCGGUGGAGUAUGUGGUUUAAUUCGAUGCAACGCGAAGAACCUUACCAGGGCUUGACAUGUCGCGAAUCUUGAUGAAAGUUGAGAGUGCCUUCGGGA